CAGUAGCCGCGGGAAUACGUAGGGUGCAAGCGUUAAUCGGAAUUACUGGGCGUAAAGAGUGCGCAGGCGGUUUUGCAAGACCGAUGUGAAAUCCCCGGGCUUAACCUGGGAACUGCAUUGGUGACUGCAAGGCUAGAGUGUGUCAGAGGGAGGUGGAAUUCCGCAUGUAGCAGUGAAAUGCGUAGAUAUGCGGAGGAACACCGAUGGCGAAGGCAGCCUCCUGGGAUAACACUGACGCUCAUGCACGAAAGCGUGGGGAGCGAACAGGAUUAGAUACCCGGGUAGUCCCUGUCUCUUAUAC
rnacentral:rRNA from 1 species